CUGUCAACCACCUUUCUAUUUUUUAGACAAUUCCAGAAGGGUAACAACCUUCCUCUGUACAAUGAAUUGCAGUACUCAAUAAAUCCAUGUCCCACUUCGUCAGAGUCGCUUAGUCACCAAGGAUCACAUCUGUUCUUAGAACUGACCUCUCAUGUCAUGAGUUUGGAUGAACUGUCAGUUCCUUCCGGUUCCAGAAAUAUCUACCCAUGUUUCUUCAUCCAUCCUCACAACCAACCCAUGUCAGUGAGGUAGUAAAAGGUUCAGUGACACAAAUUGGAUGUGGGGAUCAAAUGAGAUAAUCUACCUAAAAGCUUCAUGGACAUUGCAUGCCAGGUAAGUCACAGUUAUGAAAUAGAACUCCUCCUCCUCCUGUUUUUAAUAGUGUUUGUAGUAGUAGUAGUAUAAAAUGGAUUAGUACUACUACUUUGGUAAAAAUAAGAGCAUGUUUAAUAAUCACUUGUUAUUGGGUCAAGGAUCCGGGAACAUGUAGAGGCAAAAUGACUUCCUCCUUAGUGUUCUCAUUUUCUCAAAUUAAUCUGGAUGGGUUCCGCAAGGUUAAUGCUGCAUGUGGUUCUUAACUCACUGUUGUCCAGGCAGCAAACCAUCGAUUAUCAGCAACUGAACAACUUAGCUUCUAGUUGAUACAGUGGGCCUUGUCAGCCACCUGGACCCCAGACCAAUCAGAGAUAUGAGGCACUGAACAUGGGUGAUAGAAGAGUGAGUGUUAAUCUCCACUAGUAAGAAGUUUUCAAAGACUAACACAUUGUGUGUUGUUAUGUACUUUCGGAAGAGAACAUCACUGUCACUAACGCAUUUGAGUUGAGGGUACAAAUGGAUGUGGCAAUAAUAUAAACACUUAUGUGUCUCUGUCACAUUUUAGCUCACAAAUAUAUAUAUAUGUGUGUUUUUUUUUGAGGAAGAUUAGCCCUGAGAUAACGUCUGCCACCAAUACUCCUGUUUUUGUUGAGGAAGAUUGGCCUUGAGCUAACAUCUGUGCCCAUCUUCCUCUACUUUAUAUGUAGGAUGCUUGCCACAGCGUGGUUUGAUAAGCGGUGCAUAAGUCUGCACCCGGGACCUGAACCCACAACCCCUAGGCUGCCGAAGUGGAGCAUGCAAACUUAACCGCUAUGCCACCAGGCUGGCCCCUCAUAAAUAUAUUUUAAACAUAUCACUUCAUUCAAACAGAAAACAACCCUGUGUUGAAAAAUGCUUAAUUUUACAUGAGAAUGGCCUAUGAGGAUUUAAUCAAUCU
rnacentral:lncRNA from 1 species